rnacentral:rRNA from 1 species
UACGAGAGGCCCAAGCGUUAUUCGGAAUUAUUGGGCGUAAAGGGCGCGUAGGCGGCCAUUCAAGUGACGGGUGAAAGCCCUCGGCUUAACCGAGGAACUGCCUGUCAGACUGGAUGGCUUGAGACCGGGAGAGGUGAGUGGAAUUCCCAGUGUAGCGGUGAAAUGCGUAGAUAUUGGGAGGAACACCAGUGGCGAAGGCGGCUCACUGGACCGGAACUGACGCUGAGGCGCGAAAGCGUGGGGAGCAAACAGG